UUAAAAUCCGUCGACUUUAAAAAUCG
rnacentral:tRNA from 1 species